rnacentral:rRNA from 1 species
AAGUCGAACGGAAAGGCCCUGCUUGCAGGGUACUCGAGUGGCGAACGGGUGAGUAACACGUGGGUGAUCUGCCCUGCACUUCGGGAUAAGCUUGGGAAACUGGGUCUAAUACCGGAUAGGAACCAUCUUUAGUGUGGUGGUUGGAAAGUUUUUUCGGUGUAGGAUGAGCUCGCGGCCUAUCAGCUUGUUGGUGGGGUAAUGGCCUACCAAGGCGGCGACGGGUAGCCGGCCUGAGAGGGUGUACGGCCACAUUAGGACUGAGAUACGGCCCAGACUCCUACGGGAGGCAGCAGUGGGGAAUAUUGCACAAUGGGCGCAAGCCUGAUGCAGCGACGCCGCGUGGGGGAUGAAGGCCUUCGGGUUGUAAACUCCUUUCGCUAGGGACGAAGCUUUUUGUGACGGUACCUAGAUAAGAAGCACCGGCUAACUACGUGCCAGCAGCCGCGGUAAUACGUAGGGUGCGAGCGUUGUCCGGAAUUACUGGGCGUAAAGGGCUCGUAGGUGGUUUGUCGCGUCGUCCGUGAAAUUCUGGGGCUUAACUCCGGGCGUGCAGGCGAUACGGGCAUAACUUGAGUGCUGUAGGGGUAACUGGAAUUCCUGGUGUAGCGGUGAAAUGCGCAGAUAUCAGGAGGAACACCGAUGGCGAAGGCAGG